CGGUGAAGCGCUUGCCUUUUUGGUGGGUGUGGAUGAGUGGCGAACGGGUGAGUAACACGUGAGUAACCUGCCCUCUUCUUCUGGAUAACCUCAUGAAAGUGGGGCUAAUACGGGGUAUUCCGGGUCUGUCGCAUGGCGGGUUUGGGAAAGAUUGCGCCUUUGGGUGUUUUCGGUGGGGGAUGGGCUCGCGGCCUAUCAGCUUGUUGGUGGGGUGAUGGCCUACCAAGGCGGUGACGGGUAGCCGGCCUGAGAGGGUGGACGGCCACACUGGGACUGAGACACGGCCCAGACUCCUGCGGGAGGCAGCAGUGGGGAAUAUUGCACAAUGGGCGCAAGCCUGAUGCAGCGACGCCGCGUGAGGGAUGGAGGCCUUCGGGUUGUGAACCUCUUUCGCCAGUGAAGCAGGCCUGCUCCUGUGUGGGUGGGUUGACGGUAGCUGGAUAAGAAGCGCCGGCUAACUACGUGCCAGCAGCCGCGGUAAUACGUAGGGCGCGAGCGUUGUCCGGAAUUAUUGGGCGUAAAGAGCUCGUAGGCGGCUGGUCGCGUCUGUCGUGAAAUCCUCUGGCUUAACUGGGGGCUUGCGGUGGGUACGGGCCGGCUUGAGUGCGGUAGGGGAGGCUGGAACUCCUGGUGUAGCGGUGGAAUGCGCAGAUAUCAGGAAGAACACCGGUGGCGAAGGCGGGUCUCUGGGCCGUUACUGACGCUGAGGAGCGAAAGCGUGGGGAGCGAACAGGAUUAGAUACCCUGGUAGUCCACGCCGUAAACGUUGGGCACUAGGUGUGGGGGGCCUUUUCCGGGUUCUUCCGCGCCGUAGCUAACGCAUUAAGUGCCCCGCCUGGGGAGUACGGCCGCAAGGCUAA
rnacentral:rRNA from 1 species